rnacentral:tRNA from 1 species
GCCGAGAUAGCUCAGUUGGGAGAGCAGCAGACUGAAGUUCUGAAGGCCGAGCGUUCAAUCCGCUCUCUUGGCA